AUGACUUUCAUAUUCAUACGUCCUACAAAUAUGAAAAAAUAAAAAUAUAUACAUCAUGUUCCACAAGGUGGUCUUCGCUUCUUUCUUGCAGGUUGCACUCGACGACCUAUAGGUGGAGCCUCACUUGGUUCUUCAGUACGAUGCUUGUCUGGACUUUCGAUCGGACUGUCAUGCUCCUCGAUAUGAUGCUCGCCCGAACCCUAAGUCGGUCCCUCAUGCGACUCCAUACAAUACUCCAUUGGACCCUCCCUCAGUCCCUCAUACUCAGUCGCUGCAUACUCAAAAUGUGCUACAGUCUCCUCUGUGAACUGAAACUAGGUCAUAUCAUCAUGCAUAUACAUAGAUGAGCGCAUAUAUGAACUGAACGAUGAAAGAUUCGGAAUCAAAAAUGAUGAUGAACAAUAUCAUCUGGUACCUUCUCUAUGCAAUGCAGGUACUCCUGAUGAUGAGGGAUGCAUGAAAGGUAAAGGAGUGGACUCUACAGUGUCAUAGCCAUGAUCAUGGAUAUCGAUGGAGAUACGAGCAUGCUGUCGGACGGCGUGGAGGCCUGAAGUACAAAUAUCCUGGAUGAGCUAUCCGAAUGUGGCUAACGAGUCUUGACGAGCCAAACAAUGAAUCCUCGCCAGACUGUCACUCUGAUACAAACAACACGCUCAGCAGUAGGCAAAUAAACAUGUGUUAGUCAUAGAAAAUUACAGAUAAAAUAUGAAACCUGAC
rnacentral:lncRNA from 1 species